rnacentral:rRNA from 1 species
AUACGGAAGGUCCGGGCGUUAUCCGGAUUUAUUGGGUUUAAAGGGAGCGCAGGCGGCCUUUUAAGCGUGACGUGAAAUGCCGGGGCUCAACCUUGGAAUUGCGUCGCGAACUGGCGGGCUUGAGUACGCUCGAGGCAGGCGGAAUUCGUGGUGUAGCGGUGAAAUGCUUAGAUAUCACGAGGAACCCCGAUUGCGAAGGCAGCCUGCCGGGGUGUUACUGACGCUCAUGCUCGAAGGUGCGGGUAUCGAACAGGAUUAGAUACCCUGGUAGUCCGCACGGUAAACGAUGGACGCCCGCUGUUGGGCCCUAGGGUUCAGCGGCCAAGCGAAAGCGUUAAGCGUCCCACCUGGGGAGUACGCCGGCAACGGUGAAACUCAAAUGAAUUGACGGGG